rnacentral:lncRNA from 1 species
UUAAGAGAUAACUGUAUUGUAUUUGAAGCUUUAAGGACGUCCAUCGGUAGUUUUACUGUCGCAAAUUUAGUUUACCUGGCGACGCGGAGCGGAGACAGGUAAACGGGUAUUUGCGACAGUAAAACUACCGAUGGACGUCCGCAAAGCUUCAAAUACAAUACAGUUAUCUCUAUUCUAAUGCAAAACAAGUUCAUAAUUAAAUUUCAAUCAUUAUUUCAGUGUAAAAUCUUCAUUAAAGAAAAUUCCGCGAAAAGAUGUUAUCUUCUUUGGUCCCUACACUAGGUGACGUCAUAGGUAUGCUUCCGGCGUCAAACAUAAACACCGGGCGUUUUCUGGCUUCUCUGCCGCUUCAAAAUGUAAUAAAUUUUGAUAAAAAGAAAAAUUUUAGGCGCAACAAGUGAGUUUUUUUGUUUAUUAUUGUAGAAAUAACAUAUCA